AGAGUUUGAUCCUGGCUCAGGAUGAACGCUGGCGGCGUGCCUAACACAUGCAAGUCGAACGGACUUAUAACGAAACCUAGUGAAUUAUAAGUUAGUGGCGGACGGGUGAGUAACGCGUGGAAAACCUGCCGUAUACUGGGGGAUAACACUUAGAAAUAGGUGCUAAUACCGCAUAAGCGCACAGCUUCGCAUGAAGCAGUGUGAAAAACUCCGGUGGUAUACGAUGGUUCCGCGUCUGAUUAGCUAGUUGGUGAGGUAAAAGCCCACCAAGGCAACGAUCAGUAGCCGGCCUGAGAGGGUGAACGGCCACAUUGGGACUGAGACACGGCCCAGACUCCUACGGGAGGCAGCAGUGGGGGAUAUUGCACAAUGGGGGAAACCCUGAUGCAGCGACGCCGCGUGAGUGAAGAAGUAUUUCGGUACGUAAAGCUCUAUCAGCAGGGAAGAAAAAAAGUCCACAGGACUUUGGACGGUACCUGACUAAGAAGCCCCGGCUAACUACGUG
rnacentral:rRNA from 1 species